AUCCGCAUGGAUAUGUUGUAAAGGUUUACCGCCUUGGGAUAGGCUUGCGUCUGAUUAGCUAGUUGGUGUGGUAACGGCACACCAAGGCUACGAUCAGUAACUGGUCUGAGAGGAUGAUCAGUCACACUGGAACUGAGACACGGUCCAGACUCCUACGGGAGGCAGCAGUGAGGAAUAUUGGGCAAUGCUCGAAAGAGUGACCCAGCAACGCCGCGUGGAGGAUGAAGGUAUUCUAUAUCGUAAACUCCUGUGAGAGCAGACGAAAGACAGAUUAUUAAUCUGGAUGACUGUAUGCUCAGAGGAAGCCCCGGCUAACUACGUG
rnacentral:rRNA from 1 species